CUUCAACGAGCCCAGCCAGAGCGGCCGUUGCGCGUCGCGCUGGCGGCCGUAGGCGGCCAGGAUCGCCUGGGCCUC
rfam:Streptomyces sp. Amel2xC10 genome assembly, contig: K375DRAFT_scaffold00008.8